CCAAGAACAUACAUUGGAGAAUACACAUUGAGACAGCCUCCUCAACAAAACAGAGGAAAGCAGACAUUCACCUGUAGAAGAAUAAAUUUAAUCCAGAUCUUUUACCCUGCACAAAAUUUAAUUCAAAUGGAUCAAAACUGAUCAAACUUAAGUUAUGAACUAAAACUUUGAAACCUCUUGAAUAAAAGCUAUGUGAAAGAUGUGAAGGAUACAGGCAUAGACAACUUUUCCCAAAGGAUGCUGGCAGCACAGGAAGUAAUUCCUAAAUUGACAGAAAUAUUGUACCAAAUUAAAAAGCUUCCACAGAGAAAAGGAAACAACUAUAGUUUCCGUAUAGAGUGUAGAAAAUAUCUCAGGCAAGUUCACAUCAGAUAGGAGCUAAUAUGCAAAAUACCCAAAGAAUGGGUAAAACAGCCCAAAUCCUCAACCCUUCAAGCAAAAAUGGGCUAGUGAGCUGAAAAUUUUUUUUCAAAAGAAGAAAUAAAAAUAAAGAAUACUUGAAUUAGUGUUUGCUAUCUUUAGUCAAUGGGAAAAUGCAAAUUAAAACCUGUUUGAGAUGUUUAUCUCACCCUGGACAGCCUGGCUAGUAUGGCUAUUAUCAAGAAAAGAAAUGACAAAUGCUGGUAUGGAUGUGGGAAAAGAGAAAUUCUUCCUUAUUUACUGCUGCCAGAAAUGUAAAUCAGUAUGUCUGCUACAACAAUCAGUACAGAGGUGCUUCAAAUACUGAAAAUAAAGCUACCAUUUGAGCUAACCAUGCCACAGUAGCCAAUCACACCACUCUUGACUAUAUACACCAGAAGGACUCUACAUCAAUUCACCACAAAGAUACUUCACAUCCAUGUUUAUUGCAACAACCUUUACAAUAGCUACAGGAUGGAAUCAGCCUACAUGAACCUCAAUGGACAAAUGGAUAAAGAAAAUGUGGUCCUUAUACAAAAUGCAGUUUUAUGCAGCCACAAAGGAAAAAUGAAAUCAUGACAUUUAUAGGAAAAUGAAUGUGAUUGGAGAUUAUACUAAGUAAAACAAUACUCACAAAGGUGAAUUCCACAUGUCCUUUCACAUGCAGACCCUAGAUGUGUGUGUGUGUGUGUGUGUGUGUGUGUGUGUGUGUGUGUGUGUGUGUGUGUGUGUGUGUGAUGUGUGUGGUGGUGAGUGUGUGUGUGUGUGUGUGUGUGGUGUAUGUGUGCAGAAGUAGAAAGGGG
rnacentral:lncRNA from 1 species